UAUUACCCGCUACCUGCUUCCCGCUACCUGCUUCCCGCUACCUGCUACCUGCUAUCUGCUACCUGCUACCUGCUAUCUACUACUGAUCCCUGUGAUUGUGAUUUGUGUUACUGGUUAUUAUUGUUUGUUUUUGUUUUGUUUAAAGUGGUUCUGCUUGAGGGCAUCUAUUUGAUUAUGGAGUAGCCGGUGCCCUGUGUGGAUUUUGCUCCUCCAUUGUGGAACUACAAAAAUUGUAUUCUUUUUCUUUCCUUUUUUAUAAUUUGUGUAUUUUUUGUUUUGUUGGACAUUUUGUAUUGUUUAUAUUCAACAUUAGUUUGCCUUGGUUGAAUUUGUUUGUUCGUUUCCCUUUCCUUUUUCUUGUGACAUUAUUGCCUGGAUUAGUGUGUAAGGUUUUGGUUUGUGUAAUACACAUUGCAUAUACUCAUUUUAUUUUUAUCUUCUUACAGGAGCUGGGGUUCCACGGGUGCAGGAGCUUGAGGUGGUGGUGUCACUUCAUCAUUUGCUGUGGACACGUUUGUGUGUGCAGUGAGUGUGUCGGGGUGUGUGUGUGUGUGUGUGGAGGUGUAAGUGUGCUUUUGGCUAAAUUCAGCACUGGUGAUCACUCCCGUGGGUGACCUCAGCCCUUUACCAUUGGAGAGUGCUGCCGGCAGUAGGUGAUGAGGAUUCAAUGUGACUUUUAAAUGGUGAAACAAUUGUGAAAAUAAAUUUUGUACUUUCAUGCUUUA